rnacentral:rRNA from 1 species
GCAUAUCAAUAAGCGGAGGAAAAGAAACUAACAAGGAUUCCCCUAGUAACGGCGAGUGAAGCGGGAAGAGCUCAAAUUUGAAAGCUGGGGCCUUCGGUGUCCGCAUUGUAAUCUAGAGAGGUGUUUUCCGCGCCGGACCGCGUACAAGUUCCUUGGAACAGGACGUCAUAGAGGGUGAGAAUCCCGUACUUGACGCGGACGCCCGGUGCUUUGUGAUACACCCUCCACGAGUCGAGUUGUUUGGGAAUGCAGCUCAAAAUGGGUGGUAAAUUCCAUCUAAAGCUAAAUAUUGGGGAGAGACCGAUAGCGAACAAGUACCGUGAGGGAAAGAUGAAAAGCACUUUGGAAAGAGAGUUAAACAGUACGUGAAAUUGUCGAAAGGGAAGCGCUUGAAGUCAGACAUGCUUGCUAGGACUCAGCCUUGCUUUUGCUUGGUGCAUUUCCUGGUGAGCAGGCCAGCAUCGGUUUUGUCCGCCGGAUAAGGGUAGGAGGAACGUGGCACCUCCGGGUGUGUUAUAGCCUCCUACUGGAUACGGCGGAUGGGACCGAGGAACGCAGUGUGCCCUUGUGGCGGGCCUUCGGGUACCUUCGCACUUAGGAUGCUGGCGUAAUGGCUUUAAGCGACCCGUCUUGAAACACGGACC